rnacentral:rRNA from 1 species
GAUCAUGGCUCAGGACGAACGCUGGCGGCGUGCUUAACACAUGCAAGUCGAACGGUUCUUAGCCGACAGAAGUUUUCGGACGGAAGACGGCGAAAGGAUAGUGGCGGACGGGUGAGUAACGCGUGGAUAAUCUACCUUAAAGACCGGGACAACAGUUGGAAACGACUGCUAAUACCGGAUGACAUUAGUUUACGGCAUCGUGAGCUGAUCAAAGGAGGCCUCUUAACAAUGCUCCCGCUUUAAGAUGAGUCCGCG